rnacentral:rRNA from 1 species
UGGGGAAUAUUGCACAAUGGGCGCAAGCCUGAUGCAGCAACGCCGCGUGAACGAUGAAGGUCUUCGGAUCGUAAAGUUCUGUUGCAGGGGAAGAUAAUGACGGUACUCUGUGAGGAAGCCCCGGCUAACUACGUGCCAGCAGCCGCGGUAAUACGUAGGGGGCUAGCGUUAUCCGGAUUUACUGGGCGUAAAGGGUGCGUAGGUGGUCUUUCAAGUCGGUGGUUAAAGGCUACGGCUCAACCGUAGUUAGCCUCCGAAACUGGAAGACUUGAGUGCAGGAGAGGAAAGUGGAAUUCCCAGUGUAGCGGUGAAAUGCGUAGAUAUUGGGAGGAACACCAGUAGCGAAGGCGGCUUUCUGGACUGCAACUGACACUGAGGCACGAAAGCGUGGGUAGCAAACAGG